UUUGGAUCAAUUAAAUGCAGCCUUGGUGAGCAGAAGAGGCUUUUCUUUUAAAAACAUGAAACAAUCUUACAGAUCUAAAAAAAUUUAAACGGUAGUGUAGGUCUAAAGUUUUAAGUCUUUAUGUAAAGAAAAUGUAUAUUCAGAUUACUUUUAACUUAAACUACAAACUACACAUUCAAUCAUUAAGUCUCCUCACAUUCAUUCUCUCUCAGGGGAGGGGUCUUUGUCUCCUCAGGUGUGAAUCACAUCAAUAUUCAUGAUCAUCCUUGCCUCCUCGCAUAUGGCCUUUCUAACACUAAAAGUGUCUUACAAAAGUUAAAUGACUAUAUUGUUUUGUAUGAAUGAGUGAUCAGGAUUGUUUUUCCACAUCAUUUUUGUAGCAAAAACUCUAGGCUACAAGAUCCAGUUCUCAAAAGUCUUGUGAACAAAUGUUUAGUAUGUGUUAUAUGGCCUUAUUUCAGUGACCAUGCAUAAACGUUAUUUUCUCAAAAAUACAAACAUGUACAUACAUGUUGUUCACAUAUUAUUGUAGCCUAGUUUGUGCUGAAAACAGUGUUAUCAGACUUUAGCCAUUAAUAUGUUUUUUAGCAACUGAAAAAAAGCACAAAUGUCAAGGCAUGUCAAAACUUCUCCAGGGCCCAAAACACCCUCAGACCCCAGAGGGUUAAGCUGUUUUCAAUCCAAAGGGGAGAAGACACACCACAGUAGCACCAUAAGGAUAGCUGCAUGCCUCAAUCCAUGCCGUUGGUAUGCACUAACUCCUAGUACCACUCUGAGUGGUGGAAGGAUUCCAGCUUACCUGGUCUCCCUAGACCUUGUCAAACAAAUCCUUAAAUCUGCUACUACCUCCGUUGUGCAACCUUCACAGAUAUACCUGGUAUAUGUUCUUGGCAGUGCAAUUCCAAUCUAUGUAAAUCUUCAGAACCUCGAAAUAGGAUUCAUCCUCAAUCUACCCAUCAUAGAAAGGCAGAAUAUAUACCAAAGGACAAAUACACAUUCUACCGCGUCCUCACGCGACUCAAGUAAGAGGUCUACAUCUGGACAGAGAUCGAUUAUUCUAGUGUGUUAUUCUUGUGUAUCAAGGUUGUUGCUUGUACAGUUUACGGACCGCAGAGUCUGCUCAUUGCUGCUAAUAAUACUCAAGGUAUUAAUGUAACUUACUGUUACCACGAAUGAGAUUUGCUGUGUUGUCGUCCAAUUACACUCUUAAAAAUUGCUGUUAAUUUACUUACAAAUAUCAACAGUAUAAUCCUGUUAUUUUUAAAUGCAGUACAUUACUGUUAAUUUUGGUUGGUUAAAUGACUUAGACGUAAUACUACGGUAUUUUACAGUAUUGAUUGCUCAAAGGAAAGAAAACAGUACUUUACAGUAUUUUUUGCAUUGCAUUUUGGGAACACAAGACUACAGUGAGCCCACACGUGUUUAAGGGGUGAUUUUUUUCACCCAUCUUCAUCUUCUGAAUUAAUAGGUGAGUACCCUUUUGCUUUGCUUUUUAGCAUAGCCAUAAACCAUUACAUUUAUGUUCAACGCUUUUGGGAAACACAGCUGUACAGCUGAUAAUGUUAAGUUUUAUGCAGGGAUGCAUGAUAUUCCUUCUCUUUUAAUCUGAAAACAUUGGUGAUACUGGAAUUGUAUCUAACUUUUAAACAUUUGUUUCAGUGGGUAACCAACUGUAACUGUGACAGAGUGCAGCUGGAUUUCUGAAACGGAUCUUCCAUAUUACAGGCACGCUGAAAUGACAGGCAUCUUCGUUUGUGUUCUGAUGAUGAUAGAAAAUCAUACACAUCUGGCAUGGCAUUAAGGCGUUUCAUCGGGAUAAAUCCUGAGAGAGGCACCAAGGCUGGACGAGGCAAAGUCCUGUCAAAACGUACGGGGAAAGUCGCCCAGAAAAAGAUGACAUCAGUCAACCCUCGUGUCUGCAGUCUACUAAAGAAACUAAUGGACUUUGAGUGGGACUUUAUAUAAGUCAGUGAACCCAGUCAUUCACACACACACUCACUCAACUCACUCAAACUCACACAACCACUCACAUAUGAACACUAUCUCACACACAAACUCACACAACACUCUCUGUCACACACACACACACAAACACACUUUCACACACACUCAACACACACAAACUCACACAAGCACUCUCACACACACACACAAACACUCUCUCUCUCUCACACACAUGCUCAACACACACACACACACACACACACAAUACACACAAACUCACACAAACACUCACACACAAACUCACACAAACACUUUCUCAGACACUCACACACACACAAACUCACACAAACACUUUCUCAGACACUCACACACACUGUUUUAGUCAUUCAUUCAGACACUUUCUCAAUUAUUUAGUGUUUGUGUCCAGAGUUCAGUGUUUGGACAGACAGAGAUUUGAUAUUAUUUGUUAUAAUAUGUAUUUAUUAUUUAUAUGGCUGAAAUGUAAGUUUAUUUACCCAAAUCAGCUUUGGGCUUUGUUUUACCAAUUGCUUUAUAAUUUUGUACUGAUGUUUUGCAAGAAUGGGGUUUUGCACAUAAAGAGAGAUGUUUUGAAAAGAUACUUUGAAGCUGUAUUAUUUGUCUUAAAAGUUUGUCACUAUAUUCAAAGGAUACACUAUUAAAACAUGGUAUUUUUUAUUGCAAGACUAAGGAAUAAUUUAUUAAAACACAAGGUUUAGAAAAAAGUAAACACAUUGUAGUCCUUUUUGCUAGCAGUCCAUUACUCAAUAGCUUAUACA